rnacentral:rRNA from 1 species
UAGCGGAGGGUCCAAGCGUUAUCCGGAAUCAUUGGGUUUAAAGGGUCCGUAGGCGGUUUUGUAAGUCAGUGGUGAAAGCCCAUCGGCUUCAACGGUGGAACGGCCAUUGAUACUAGCAAGACUUGAAUUAUUAGGAAGUAACUAGAAUAUGUAGUGUAGCGGUGAAAUGACUUAGAGAUUACAUGGAAUGAACCAAUUGCCAG